CAGUCGCCGCGGUAAUACGAAGGGGGCUAGCGUUGCUCGGAAUGACUGGGCGUAAAGCGUGCGUAGGCGGUUUGUUAAGUCUGCUGUGAAAUCCCCGGGCUCAACCUGGGAAUGGCAGUGGAUACUGGCAAGCUAGAGUGUGUCAGAGGAUGGUGGAAUUCCCGGUGUAGCGGUGAAAUGCGUAGAGAUCGGGAGGAACAUCAGUGGCGAAGGCGGCCAUCUGGGACAACACUGACGCUGAGGCACGAAAGCGUGGGGAGCAAACAGGAUUAGAUACCCGCGUAGUCCCUGUCUCUUAUAC
rnacentral:rRNA from 1 species